rnacentral:rRNA from 1 species
GAACCUACGGGGGGCAGCAGUGGGGAAUAUUGCACAAUGGGGGAAACCCUGAUGCAGCGACGCCGCGUGAGUGAAGAAGUAUUUCGGUACGUAAAGCUCUAUCAGCAGGGAAGAAAUAAAGUCCUUUGGACUUUGGACGGUACCUGACUAAGAAGCCCCGGCUAACUACGUGCCAGCAGCCGCGGUAAUACGUAGGGGGCAAGCGUUAUCCGGAUUUACUGGGUGUAAAGGGAGCGCAGGCGGCGUGGCAAGUCAGAUGUGAAAACCCGGGGCUCAACCCCGGGACUGCAUUUGGAACUGUAUGG